rnacentral:rRNA from 1 species
ACUGGCGGACGGGUGAGUAACGCGUAGGCAACCUGCCCCUAUGACCGGGAUAACCCUGCGAAAGCGGGGCUAAUACUGGAUGUGGUCUCAGGGCUUUUGGGUUCUGGGAUUAAAGCUGCCUGGGGUGACCUGGGUAGUGCAUAGGGAUGGGCGUGCGUCCCAUUAGCUAGUUGGUAGGGUAACGGCCUACCAAGGCGACGAUGGGUAGCUGGCGUGAGAGCGUGAUCAGCCACACUGGGACUGAGAUACGGCCCAGACUCCUACGGGAGGCAGCAGUGGGGAAUAUUGCGCAAUGCCCGCAAGGGUGACGCAGCGACGCCGCGUGGGCGAAGAAGCUCUACGGAGUGUAAAGCCCUGUCAGGGGGGACGAACGGCCACGUUUCGAAAGGGGCGUGGUGUGACGGUACCCUCAGAGGAAGCUCCGGCUAACUCCGUGCCAGCAGCCGCGGUAAUACGGGGGGAGCAAGCGUUGUCCGGAAUCACUGGGCGUAAAGGGCGUGUAGGCGGGCAGCCAAGUCAGAUGUAAAAGGUCACGGCUCAACCGUGGUUGGUCAUCUGAUACUGGUUGUCUUGAGUUCGAGAGAGGGUGGUGGAAUUCCCGGUGUAGCGGUGAAAUGCGUAGAUAUCGGGAAGAACACCGGAGGCGAAGGCGGCCACCUGGCUCGCAACUGACGCUGAGGCGCGAAAGCGUGGGGAGCAAACAGGAUUAGA